rfam:Puccinia graminis f. sp. tritici CRL 75-36-700-3 supercont2.1 genomic scaffold, whole genome shotgun sequence.
GGGCAGAUGGCCGAGUGGUCUAAGGCGCUAGUUUUAGGUUCUCCUCUCCAACCAGAGGUCCAGAAUCACUAGUCUUCGGGCGUGGGUUCAAAUCCCACUCUGCUCA